rnacentral:snRNA from 1 species
GCUCGCCUUCGGCCGCACAUAUAUUACAGUUGGAACGAUAGAGAAGAUUUGGCAUGGCCCCUGCGCCAAGGAUGACAUGCAAAUCCUCGUGAAGUGUUCCAUAUUUAA